rnacentral:rRNA from 1 species
AUUGAACGCUGGCGGCAGGCCUAACACAUGCAAGUCGAGCGGAUGAAGGGAGCUUGCUCCUGGAUUCAGCGGCGGACGGGUGAGUAAUGCCUAGGAAUCUGCCUGGUAGUGGGGGAUAACGUCCGGAAACGGGCGCUAAUACCGCAUACGUCCUGAGGGAGAAAGUGGGGGAUCUUCGGACCUCACGCUAUCAGAUGAGCCUAGGUCGGAUUAGCUAGUUGGUGGGGUAAAGGCCUACCAAGGCGACGAUCCGUAACUGGUCUGAGAGGAUGAUCAGUCACACUGGAACUGAGACACGGUCCAGACUCCUACGGGAGGCAGCAGUGGGGAAUAUUGGACAAUGGGCGAAAGCCUGAUCCAGCCAUGCCGCGUGUGUGAGGAAGGUCUUCGGAUUGUAAAGCACUUUAAGUUGGGAGGAAGGGCAGUAAGUUAAUACCUUGCUGUUUUGACGUUACCAACAGAAUAAGCACCGGCUAAUUUCGUG